rnacentral:rRNA from 1 species
AGUAAAUUGGUUAAGUUAGAAAGGGCGCACGGUGGAUGCCUUGGCACUAGGAGCCGAAGAAGGACGGGACUAACACCGAUAUGCUUUGGGGAGCUGUACGUAAGCGUUGAUCCAGAGAUUUCCGAAUGGGGGAACCCACUAUCUUUAGUCGGAUAGUAUCCUUACGUGAAUACAUAGCGUGAGGAAGGCAGACCCAGGGAACUGAAACAUCUAAGUACCUGGAGGAAGAGAAAGAAAAAUCGAUUUCCUGAGUAGCGGCGAGCGAAACGGAAAGAGCCCAAACCAAGAAGCUUGCUUCUUGGGGUUGUAGGACACUCUAUACGGAGUUACAAAAGAAAGUUAUAAAUGAAGCGGUCUGGAAAGGCCCGCCAAAGACGGUAACAGCCCGGUAGUUGAAAUAGCUUUCCCUCCAGAGUGGAUCCUGAGUACGGCGGAACACGUGAAAUUCCGUCGGAAUCCGGGAGGACCAUCUCCCAAGGCUAAAUACUCCCUAGUGACCGAUAGUGAACCAGUACCGUGAGGGAAAGGUGAAAAGCACCCCGGAAGGGGAGUGAAACAGUUCCUGAAACCGUGUGCCUACAA